rnacentral:tRNA from 1 species
GCCGGCUUAGCUCAAUUGGUAGAGCAACUGACUUGUAAUCAGUAGGUUGUGAGUUCGAGUCUCACAGCCGGCUCCA